rnacentral:rRNA from 1 species
GCAGUCGAGCGGAUGAGAAGAGCUUGCUCUUCGAUUCAGCGGCGGACGGGUGAGUAAUACCUAGGAAUCUGCCUGAUAGUGGGGGACAACGUUUCGAAAGGAACGCUAAUACCGCAUACGUCCUACGGGAGAAAGCAGGGGACCUUCGGGCCUUGCGCUAUCAGAUGAGCCUAGGUCGGAUUAGCUAGUUGGUGAGGUAAUGGCUCACCAAGGCUACGAUCCGUAACUGGUCUGAGAGGAUGAUCAGUCACACUGGAACUGAGACACGGUCCAGACUCCUACGGGAGGCAGCAGUGGGGAAUAUUGGACAAUGGGCGAAAGCCUGAUCCAGCCAUGCCGCGUGUGUGAAGAAGGUCUUCGGAUUGUAAAGCACUUUAAGUUGGGAGGAAGGGCAUUAACCUAAUACGUUAGUGUUUUGACGUUACCGACAGAAUAAGCACCGGCUAACUCUGUGCCAGCAGCCGCGGUAAUACAGAGGGUGCAAGCGUUAAUCGGAAUUACUGGGCGUAAAGCGCGCGUAGGUGGUUUGUUAAGUUGGAUGUGAAAUCCCCGGGCUCAACCUGGGAACUGCAUCCAAAACUGGCAAACUAGAGUAGGGCAGAGGGUGGUGGAAUUUCCUGUGUAGCGGUGAAAUGCGUAGAUAUAGGAAGGAACACCAGUGGCGAAGGCGACCACCUGGGCUCAUACUGACACUGNNGUGCGAAAGCGUGGGGAGCA